AGUGAACGCUGGCGGCGUGCCUAAUACAUGCAAGUCGAACGGAGUGGCGCACGGGUGAGUAAUGUAUAGCUAAUCUGCCCUACACUAGAGGCCAACAGGUGGAAACGACUGCUAAAACUCUAUAGUGUAGGAUGAGGCUAUAUUGUCUCAGUUAGUUGGGGAGGUAAUGGCUGACCAAGGCUAUGACGCAUCACUGGUCUGAGAGGAUGAUCAGUAACACUUGAACUGAGACACGGUCCAGGAUUCUACGGGAUGCAACAGUAGGGCAUAUAUGUCAAUGGGGGAAUCCCUGAAUCAGCAGCGCCGCGUGGAGAAUGUCACUGUCCGGAGCGUAAACUCCUUUUGUUAGGGAAGCGGCACCGACCGCAUAAGCAUCGGCUAAACCCGUGCCAGCAGCCGCGGUAAUUC
rnacentral:rRNA from 1 species